CAGCCGCCGCGGUAAUACAGAGGGUGCGAGCGUUAAUCGGAUUUACUGGGCGUAAAGCGUGCGUAGGCGGCUUUUUAAGUCGGAUGUGAAAUCCCUGAGCUUAACUUAGGAAUUGCAUUCGAUACUGGGAAGCUAGAGUAUGGGAGAGGAUGGUAGAAUUCCAGGUGUAGCGGUGAAAUGCGUAGAGAUCUGGAGGAAUACCGAUGGCGAAGGCAGCCAUCUGGCCUAAUACUGACGCUGAGGUACGAAAGCAUGGGGAGCAAACAGGAUUAGAUACCCCGUAGUCCCUGUCUCUUAUACA
rnacentral:rRNA from 1 species